CCUACGGGUGGCAGCAGUGGGGAAUAUUGGACAAUGGGCGAAAGCCUGAUCCAGCCAUGCCGCGUGUGUGAAGAAGGCCUUCGGGUUGUAAAGCACUUUCAGUGGGGAAGAAAGCCUUGGGGCUAAUACCCUCGAGGAAGGACAUCACCCACAGAAGAAGCACCGGCUAACUCCGUGCCAGCAGCCGCGGUAAUACGGAGGGUGCGAGCGUUAAUCGGAAUUACGGGGCGUAAAGCGCGCGUAGGCGGUCUGAUAAGCCGGUUGUGAAAGCCCCGGGCUCAACCUGGGAACGGCAUCCGGAACUGUCAGGCUAGAGUGCAGGAGAGGAAGGUAGAAUUCCCGGUGUAGCGGUGAAAUGCGUAGAGAUCGGGAGGAAUACCAGUGGCGAAGGCGGCCUUCUGGACUGACACUGACGCUGAGGUGCGAAAGCGUGGGUAGCAAACAGGAUUAGAUACCCUAGUAGUC
rnacentral:rRNA from 1 species